UCCUGGUUAACCCAGGCAGUCUCACUAGAGUUCCCACCAUUACGUGUUGGCAACUAAUGAUAAGGGUUGCGCUCGUUGCUGGACUUAACCAAACACCUCACGGCACGAGCUGACGACAGCCAUGCAGCACCUGUGCAGCAGUCCCGAAGGAAAAUGUUGUUUCCAACAUCGUCUACUGCAUGUCAAGCCUGGGUAAGGUUCUUCGCGUUGCAUCGAAUUAAACCACAUGCUCCACUGCUUGUGCGGGUCCCCGUCAAUUCUUUUGAGUUUCAGCCUUGCGACUGUACUCCCCAGGCGGUAUACUUAUCGCGUUAGCUACGGCACAACCAGGGUUGAGUCCGGUUACACCAAGUAUACAUCGUUUACGGCUAGGACUAC
rnacentral:misc_RNA from 1 species